rnacentral:rRNA from 1 species
UACGUAGGGUGCGAGCGUUAAUCGGAAUUACUGGGCGUAAAGCGUGCGCAGGUGGCGUCGCAAGUCAGGCGUGAAAGCCCCGGGCUUAACCUGGGAACUGCAUUUGUGACUGCAUCGCUGGAGUGCGGCAGAGGGGGAUGGAAUUCCGCGUGUAGCAGUGAAAUGCGUAGAUAUGCGGAGGAACACCGAUGGCGAAGGCAAUCCCCUGGGCCUGCACUGACGCUCAUGCACGAAAGCGUGGGGAGCAAACAGG